AAAUCGGAUACAAAACGCGCGCGUAGGGUACUAGUUAAAAAUUGAUUUGACGUAUCAAAGGAUUUGACGUCAAGCGUCUUUUGUACGCAAAGGCUACAGAGCCGAAAUUCAUUUCCUUUUCUCUGCUACAAUGGCCGGCUAGACUGCAGCAAAGGAACAACCAAAGUCACCAUUUCUUUUCUUCUAAAACUCAACCAAAUUCUUACCAAAACUUCCCUAGAUUCUCACCAAACUUCACAUUCGUUUAGCUUUUCACUUGGACAACAACUUAGGCUGGAAAAGGGAGGAGUUUCACGGCUGUCUUCAGGCUUCAUAGGGACCGAAAUUUUCUGAUUUGAACAGCCAUCAAAGUAGGCACGCACGAGGACCUCCAAGAGGACCCUACUGUGGAAGUUUGAACUCUUCCUCCAAUUUACUUGCUUGCAUAACUUGGUUUGAACUCGGAGGUAAAAUGGAGAAGCCCUCUUGAUGUACUUUUGUUUAGGGCUUGUUAUUACUUUUGGUUAUGCCUUUGGUUUUGGAAUUGUACUUUUGGUAUGGAAAUGUGACCCUGAGAACUGUCACAGUUGGUAUCAGAGCCAUAUGCCGACAGUUGGGAUCUUAAGUCCUUCGUCUGGAAAAGCCCCGAGCCUCUCGUUCGUGAAGAGUCACGAAGCGAAACUCUCCGUAAGGGAUGCCCGCGUGCGGGUGGCAAGCUGAUAGGUACCCCGUGAUGUGACCCUUUGGACAAAAUGUAAUCUGUAUUCUGACGUGUGGUUUGGAGAAUGGAUGACUAUUAUUAAGUUUGAAUACUUCCGCAUUUAGUGUAUCUAAAUUAUUGGCUUGUAUUGUGUGGUCCGGCUAUAAGUUGAAUGGAAUUGCUUGAGUCCUGGCGAGAGCUAGGCAGGCGUUCCGCGGAUACCCUUUGGUUCGCCUUAGGGAGAAGUGGGGGCGUCACACAAGGCACAGCCUUAGCCCUCGUAAAAAUACUGAUCAUUGGAAAAGAAUAUAUAACAAUUCUAGUUGCAAAUAGGUACAUAAUAUCAUAAUUACCAUUCAUAGAUAGCUGUCAACAAUUUCAGUAGCAGUUGCACACAUUCCAGUACAAUUAAGUCCCAAGUAGAGAUACAUAAUGCAUGCUCAUAGUUACAUAAUAUCAUAUAUUAUGAUUCAUUAACUUCUAGUCAUAGCGAGAAUGUUAAUGGAUUCUAAUAUGAUGGCAAAAGAUAGCAUGCUAAAAGUUCAGUAGCAUCCAUGAUGAACAAAAGGAUGAACAACAAAAGGAUGAACAAAAGAGGACAUGAAGCUGUGUGACUGCUUCAUUUUGCAGAUUCACGUUGCUUCUUGAGAGGGCUCAUAUGAGCAGAUUUUGAAGAUGCAGGCUUCUUGUCUUCAGAACCAUUUUUUCCAGCAAUUGAGGGAACAGCUUCAAUGGUUGUCUUCUCAGCAGAAGGUGGAGUUUCAAAAGUUAAGCUUCUUUUUGCAGCAAUGUUUGAAGAGCCUGGCUUAUCUGCAUUAUCAGACUUGCGCCCAAUUGAAUCUAGGAUCAUUUUUGUUGUUGGGCUGAAGAAUUGCCCUUCAGUGGCGAGUUGGUCAGUGAAAGUGGAGCGAGCAGUUAAGUCAACAUGUUCAAUGGUGCUGGUCGGCUUCUCAGUUAUGGUUGGAGCAGUUGGAAUAGGCUCUUCCACAGGAUUAGAGACAACUGUGCGCGUGAUUGCCAGAUGGACAUCUGAUGAUCCAUUCCAAAUUAGCAUCUACAGCCUUUUGACAGUUACUACAUGCAGCAUACCAGAAAGAUCGCUGCUCAACUGCCAAAGAAGUAUUUCCUCGUAUCCAGGCAGUCUUGACCUAUAGUUUAUAUUGUAUUAGAUGCAAAGUUAAGUAAUUCAUUUUUCACUAAUGUAAAAGGUAAGAAAAUAGUAUAAGUCAGUUGGUGAUAUGACCGUAUUUACAUUUUUCAGCAUGCUCAUAGCGUUCUCAAUACUAAUGAUAUCAUUAUUUUUGGGCGGAGGCAGCAAUUUGGUUGAGUCUUUGUAACUGCCCUCCCCAAUUAGUUGUGCAAUUUGCUGCCGAUUCU